GGGUGUAUAGCUCAGCUAGGUAGAGCAGUGGCCUUUUAAGCCAUUGGUCGGGGGUUCGAUUCCCUCUGCACCCA
rnacentral:tRNA from 1 species